ACGUAUGUUCUUGAUAGUCGCUUUACUUGGAUAACUGUGGUAAUUCUGGAGCUAAUACAUGCGUCAAAGCCCGACUUCUUGGAAGGGUUGUAUUUAUUAAAUACACAACCAACCCUCGCCUGACUUGUUGGGUGAUUCAGAAUAAUCUAAUGAAGAUCAUGGUCUCUAGCCGCGGUAAAUUCUUUGAAUUAUUGAACUAUCAACCUUCGAAGGUUGGGUAAUGGGCUACCGAGGUAUUUAGGGGUUAACGGGAAAUAAGGGUUUGUU
rnacentral:rRNA from 1 species